GAUGAAGAACGUAGCGAAAUGGGAUACUUGGUGUGAAUUGCAGAAUCCCGUGAACCAUCGAGUCUUUGAACGCAAGUUGCGCCCGAAGCCACUAGGCCGAGGGCACGCCUGCCUGGGCGUCACACGUCGUUGCCCCCCACCAUCUACUCCUUCGGGAUUGCGGGGGGCGGAUGAUGGCCUCCCGUGCGCCUAGCCGCGCGGUUGGCAUAAAUACCAAGUCCUCGGCGACGCACGCCACGACAAUCGGUGGUUGCGAAACCUCGGUUGCCCGUCGUGUGCGUUCGUCGCGCAUCGAGGGCUCGAAAAAAUGCUCGGCUCCGGCUCGGCUUUCAACGCGACCCCAGGUCAGGGGGGGUUACCCGCUGAAUUUAAGCAUAUCAAUAAGCGGAGGA
rnacentral:misc_RNA from 1 species